AUGUGUUGGGGAUAUACGAGAUCUAGGGGAAACCUCAGCUUAACACAGGCUGUGGGAGCCUGUGAGAGUCCUCCUGAAAUAGGAAGAGAGAAAUCCUGGAGACAGUCACUGGAGGCAAGAGGGAAGGAGAAAGGAGGGGGGAGAAAGAAACGUGCUACACAUUGCACAGCCGAAAUUCACAGGCCGAGUCAAAGGCAAAACCUGGACUGGAUCUCUUCCUAGUCGGUAGAAAGGGGAAAAAAAGAAAAAGAAACGUACCUAUUUUCUUAUUCACUUCACAUCCUUUAUACCGAUCUGAAAUGACAUCAAUAAACAAUCUAGAAAGACAAGGUAAUUUUAAGUCAUUAACAUGUUAUUAAGCUGUAUUUUUAUGGAGGUAAAGGAUAACGCAGUUCCAAUUGUUGCUCUUAAUAUGUGUCCCUGACCUACUGAAACACAAAGCCAGAGUGGAAAUAGUCAUAGACGGGAGUUCAUGGGUGGCAGAGCACAAUCACGGCUCUAACUAGUUGCCUAAUUUCUGUUUGACUUUGUUUUUUUCUAAAGGCACACAUUACAGACUGGUAGUUCUUAAUUUUUAAAGGUUUGGUUCUAGACUCAACAAUUUCCCCUUUUUUUAUUUCAAAUAUCUCAUAGCCUUCGAUCAGAAAUCAUUAUGCUUAGGUUUCUAAUGUGUGGAGGAUCGGGAAAGCUAACAACCAGACCACAGAAGCAACAAGAAAAGGAGAGCACAAGGGUCAGAGGUGCAUAAAGGGACAUAAUGGGGGAAGGGAGGUGAUUCCUUCCCUCUCACUAGAUGCCCUCACAUAGUAGACUUAACAUUUUCUUCCAAGUUAACAUAAUUCUCAAGUGGAGAAUCAAUCCAAUUUCUUCUUCCUGUCUCCAUUUACACUGAUGUUCUGUGAACGGGAUAAAAGUGAAAAUUCAGGUUUGCCUAAUUGACUUUGUUAUGCUAAUGGACGCACUAAAGUCAGCUGGCAGAAGUGUGUGUUGAAACCCAGAGCUCCUGAAACUACUAAGAUAGUUUAAUGAAAACCAAGACAAAAUAAUAAUAAUAAUAGUGUUUAUUCACUUACGUGGCUAUGUGUCAUAGGUCAGCACAUUAUUCACAAACUACUACAAGGUAAUGCACAGUUUUGUGGAGCUCACCUAUGAAGCUACACAUGAAGAUGUUUUCCUGAUGAUGAUAUGAAUGACCAGAAUGACUCAUGAAGUUUAAAUCUUUGAGUUUGUCAUUAUCAUCACAACAUAUUAGGUACAUUGUCUUCCUCUCUUUAAUAAAUUCCCCCUCUCCUAACCACCAAAAAGACUCUCAAGAUUCAACCUCAUUUAACCUUUCCAAACGCUUUAAAAAUGAAGUCGACUUAUUUACAGAGCCACUUUGUCUUCUUCAAACUCAUAGGUCAAGACAAAACAAAACCAAAAAAAAAAAAAACAAAACAAAACAAAAAAAAAAACUCCAUAGCUAAAUCUUUCUGAAAACGCAACACACUUAACUUUUUUUCUCUUAAAAUUUUAGCACAGUUUUUUGCUUUCACAAUAUUUAUGCUAACUGGCAGAUCUUAAAUCACUGAACUUAUUUUCCCUCAAGUCGGAAAUCAAGAUAAAAUAUAUUCUGGUUAUGUUUGUGGACAAACGGUGAGGUUGAUAGGCUCAGGAAUUGCAGUCAAGUUAUUACUUCUGUCAUAUUUGACAACGUGACUUCCUUCAAACUUCUCUUUGUAUCAUAGUAAAGCAUUAUGCACUCCAGAGGAAGAGGGUAAAAACACACACUUCCUGUCCUACCACCUUAUCCUGGGACUCAUUGUAAUUUACCCUGACUCAGUAUAGCAGAUAAUUCAUUAUUUUAAAUGGAGGUAAAGGAAGAAUGGGUAAAAGCAUAGUAUAUGUGGUUUUAAAUUAUUUGAAGAUCAGCUAAUUGUUAAGUAUUGAAUGAGCACUCAAUACAACUUUAUAGCACUAGACUAUUGCACACCGUCCCUAUACUUAUAAAAUGAUCUUAGGAUUUGUGGCAAAGAUAUUACAUGAGACGAAUGACUAAAUAGAUUAGUUUAAUUCCAUCAGGAGAGUCAAAUAGUUUAGGGUAGGUUUGUGAACUCAAGUCAGACCAAAGAAUUAGAUAACUUGCUUUACUGGUGACCUUAACCCUGCCUGGUCCAUUUGUUGAGUAAUGUCACACUGUUUGCAGUGGUGUAAGAGACAAAGUCAAACAUUCCAGUUAACACUGAGAGCCACAGCAGGAGCCUAGACAAGGGAUUGGAAUGAGAAUGGAAUGUUAUGGAAGUUCCUGGAAGAGGCCUGACCAGACAGGAGAGAGGUCAUAUGGAGGAGCAGGCAUCUGGUUUAGACAAAAAGGUCAGCUAAUGGCUGGAAUCCUAGCUGUAGUAUUCAUCUUGUGUGUAGUAGGAAAAAAGAAUAUGGAUAAAUGCCAUACAAGAGGAAGCAAACGAGGCCAGGCACGGUGGCUCAUGCCUAUAAUCCCAGCACUUUGGAAGGCCGAGGCAGGCAGAUCACCUGAGGUCGGGAGUUUGAGACGAGCUUGACCAACAUGGAGAAACCCCGUCUCUACUGAAGAUACAAAAUUAGCUGGGCGUGCUGGCACGUGCCUGUAAUCUCAGCUCCUCGGGAGGUUGAGGCAGGAGAAUCACUUGAACCUGGGAGGCAGAGGUUGCGGUGAGGCGAGAUCGUGCCAUUGCACUCCAGACUGGGCAACAAGAAAGAAACUCCGUCUCAAAAAAAAAAAAAAGGCCGGGCGCGGUGGCUCACGCCUGUAAUCCCAGCACUUUGGGAGGCCGAGGCGGGCAGAUCACGAGGUCAGGAGAUCGAGACUAUCCUGGCUAACACGGUGAAACCCCGUCUCUACUAAAAAUACAAAAAAUUAGACGGGUGUGGUGGCCGGCACUGCAGUCCCAGCUACUCAGGAGGCUGAGGCAGGAGAAUGGCGAGAACCCGGGAGGCGGAGCUUGCAGUGAGCCGAGAUCCCGCCACUGCACCCCAGCCUGGGUGACAGAGGGAGACUCCGUCUCAAAAAAAAAAAAAAAAAAAAAGCAAACAAAUAGCAUGAGGUAAACGGAUACCUAGAAUAGGACGAUGGAAAAUGGAAAGAUGUAGAUAGAUUCUGAGGAAAGGAUUGGCAGGAGUUGGUGCUUGGUUCAAUACACAAGAAGAAUUACUAAAUAUUUAUUUUAAGAUUGUGUCUCUGCUGGGUGUGGUGGCUCACGCCUGUAAUCCUACCACUUUGGGACGCUAAGGAGAGUGGCUUGCCUGAGCUUCGGAGUUAGAGACCAGGCUAGCCAACAUGGCGAAACCCCUUCUCUACUAAAAAUACAAAAAAUUCGCUGGUGUGAUGGUAUGUGCCUGCAGUCCCAGCUACUUGGGAGGCUAAAGCAGGAGAAUCCUUUGAACUCUGGAGGUGGAGGUAACAGUGAGCAGAGAUCACGCCACUGCACUCCAGCCUGGGAGAAAGAGUGAGACUCUGUCUCAAAAAAAACAAAACAAACAACAACAAAAACAAGACAAAAAAAAGAUUGCAUCUCAUUAGGAAAAUAUGGUACGUUUAAUAAAAGACAAUACAACUCCUGUUUAUACAGUACUUUCACAUCCCAGCUGGUUUUCACAACAACCCGUUUUGGGCAUCACAUGAAUGGAACCUCAGAGACUUUCAGUUGUAGAGAAAAAUAGACACAGUCUUGAAGAGCAGCCAUAGGUGACAGACGAGUCGUGCAGCCCCUGUCAGUCACAUAUCCCACAGCCAUCGCCCUUUCUUUUUUGCUUCUCUAAGACUGAUUAUGUCAGGGGGCAUUGUGCUCACCACCAAGGGAUGAAUCACAAUUAGCACUUUUCCCUGGUGUAGGGGUGGGUGUAAGACCCAUUUCUAGCCAAUGUGAUUUAUGGAGAUUUCUGAAAAAAAAAAAAAAAAAAAAAGUGUUUUCCCUGAUUAAAGGAGCAGAAGGGCCAUUUUGCCUCAGCCUCCUGCCUUCUUAGAGCUACACAGCCAUCUUUUGCGUAAGAGACAAGACAUUGCUAGAAGACAGACAAUGACAAUGGAGGGAUGCAAAGAACCUUGAGUUCCUAUUUGAGUCACCAAACCAGCCUUAGGACUUCCAACUUCUGGACUUCUUGUUAAAUAAUCAAUAAAUAUCCUGUUGUUUACACCAUUGUUAGUUGGUUAUUCUACUGUUUACAAGUAAAAGCAACUUAACCUAUACACCAAACUCAAUGAAUAAUAAGAAAAUUUAAAGGCAAGAGACAGUGAAUAGUUGCAAAGGUAAGAAGAGAACAAAAACAUUAGGUAGCAUCGUGGAACCCAGGUGAGGAGAUUUUCAAACAUAAAACAAAUUGCAGUGGACAAGAAAGAGAUGGAGAUAAUGGUACUUGGACAAUGAUAAGGAAGCUUACUGGAAAUUUUGAGAGAAACAUUUUAGUAUAGUAAACUGGGUGGAUGCUAAACCACAUGGAAUCGUGUGUGAAGUAGGUGGAAAGAAUAUGGAAAUACCAGGUAAAACUGAUUAGAAUGUGGUAACUGUAUGUGGAAGGGGCAGAGAGGUAGUCAGGAAUGCUUUCCAGAAGUUUCUAAAACUUCAGGGAAGAAUGAGUGGACAUAAAAAGAGAAUGAAAUCCAAUAUGAUCUUACUGGGUUGGUUGAUUUUAAAUUUUUUUUCUCUUAUCUGCAUUUUUCAUGUUUUCUACAGUAAAGAUGAGUCCUUGGUUAUGAGACAAAAAAUAUUGUUUUGACAUGAAUAUGUCACACGUUUAACAUAAAUACAAAUUAUAGCAUUUGGUUCAUGUUUUACAAAAUAAAAAGGUCUUACCCUAUCUCAUGUAAGUAAAACAAUUGGCUGUUAAUAUGUUUCUGAAUCAAAUAAUAACUCUGAAGUAUGAAAUGUCUUGUGUUAAUUUUUUAAAAGCCUUGGGUUUAUAAAAAAAAUAAAAAGCAGAGCUACAGCAGAAUUUAUCAUCCUUUUGCUCAGUUAUAAAAAUCAUGAAUGAAAAUAAUAGGUGAAUUUUAGUUUUUUCUUAGUAUUUUUUAGAUCAAAGUAGGACAAAUAACUUCAAAUAAAAUCUUAGGAAAACAGGAGAAUGGACUUCAAGUGUCUAUUCCACAUCUCAGCUUGGCACAAAUCAAAAUCGCUUAGUUAACCUGCCUCUUGAAAAACAGGGCCUGUAAUGAAAAAGCUGUCAGAAAUUUAACAACAGUAGCUCUGCCAGGUGCCUGGAUAAUGGGAAGGUUGCUGAGUUACAGAGAAAGAAAAGGUAAACCUGGGUGAAUAAUGACCAGAAAUGGUGAAAAUCUUUCAUUUCCAUCUUAUGGUUUAUAUCCAAUGAAAUACUAAUAGUUCAUUUAACAUUUAUUGAGCCUUAAACAUAUACCUAGUGCUAAUAUAAACCAAUUAAAAUUAUAUCUUUAGGGCAGCUGAGAACAAACUGGGUUACUAAUGAUCUCUUGGGGGGAAAACCAAACACCAUGGGGCAGCAGAUUCUUCUUGUCUUGCAAUAUUCUUCUAAGACUCUGAAGCCAGAACUGUUUGGCUUCAAGGAAGGGAAUCAUGUGAUCUACUUAAUCAGAUUUUCUCCUAAAAGUUAUGACAGGGUUUAUCCAAGAGAAUUGAAAGGACUCUAAUUAUUUAAUUAUGUUUAGUCUUCAUAUAUGUCAGAAACUUAGACAAUAAAAAUAUUCCAUAUAAUCUUAAGAUUUACUCAUCGUUACCUAAAAUACUACUAUCAAUAGUCAAGGACACAGAAUAGAAAAUGUAUUAAGAUAUCACAAUGAUUUAAAAUACUAUUUUCAGGCCAGGUGCAGUGGCUCACACCUAUAAUCCCAGUACUUGAGGCCAGGAGUUUGAGACCAGCCUGGGCAACAUAUCGAAAUCCUAUUUCUACAAAAUACACAAAAAUUAGCUGGGUGUGGUGGGGUGCACCUAUAAUCCCAGCUACUUGGGAAGCUGAGGUGGGAGGAUCACCAGAGCCUGGGAGGUCAAGGGUGCAGUGAGUGGUGACAGUGCACUGCAUUCCAGCCUGGGUGACAGUAAGAGCCCAUCACAAAAACUAAAAUUAAAUAAAAUACUAUUUUUAAAUUUUCAUAUAUAUUAAUGACCCAGGAGUCUACUCUUCAUUGAUUCUAAGUGAUUUUCAUGCCUAGAACUACAUCUUAGGUAUUAAAUAUAUUUAAAUAUUGAGUAACCAAAUAUUUACUUUCAAAAAUUGCUGUUAAGACUAUGCCUAGGAACAAUCUUGACAAAUGUACUACUGGCUAAGCAUCAUUUCAUAACAUCAUUAGGAAAGUGUAUUGCAUAGCAGGAAGAGUUUCAUUUUGACUUGAAGGCUCACAAUAUUAAUAGAUGCGUUUGACAAUGCCAUUAUUUGAAGCUCACACAUUUUUGAAGUGUUUCCAAAUCAGAUAUGUAAAUGUAAGAGUGACAAAGGUGAAAAACCUAUCACAAAUGAAUAAACUUGCAUUUUUGUAGUUAAUAAAAGAUCGUCUAACUUUGUCUUACUUGUUAUAAAUUCAGAUAUUAAUGUUAUGAGAGAUGAUUCUGUAGCUAAGCAGUAAAUUUGACAUACCUGGAUUAUUAAAACCAUGCUUCUUGCCAGUCAUUAUUCUGGUUGUUUGGCUUUUGUGAAGGAUGAAU
rnacentral:lncRNA from 1 species